rnacentral:lncRNA from 1 species
CUAGAUUCACAUAGUAACAACAUUCCUUCCUAGAUAAUCAUCCAUCAAAACCACACUACCCAAUUCACCAUAACACCUUCAUCACCCUAAUUAUACUUAACCUUAACACACCACCAAUGCAAAACAUCAACAAUAAAUUCACAAUAAAAAUUCCAUCCCAAAGCAUCAAUAAUCAUAAAUAUACACACAACAAUCACAAAAAAUCAACACAACAACAAAUC